UACGGAGGGGGCUAGCGUUGUUCGGAAUUACUGGGCGUAAAGCGCACGUAGGCGGCUUUGUAAGUUAGAGGUGAAAGCCCGGGGCUCAACUCCGGAAUUGCCUUUAAGACUGCAUCGCUAGAAUCGUGGAGAGGUGAGUGGAAUUCCGAGUGUAGAGGUGAAAUUCGUAGAUAUUCGGAAGAACACCAGUGGCGAAGGCGACUUACUGGACACAUAUUGACGCUGAGGUGCGAAAGCGUGGGGAGCAAACAGG
rnacentral:rRNA from 1 species